rnacentral:rRNA from 1 species
CGGUAUCCGCUGAAAGCAUCUGAGCGGGAAGCGAGGCCUUAGAUGAGUACUACCUUGACAGUUGAGGGUCCUAAGGGGCCGGUGGAGACCACAACGCUGAUAGGUGGGGUGUGUAAGCGAGGCGACGUGUUGAGCUAAGCCAUACUAAUUACCCGUGAGGCUGAACCAUACAACACCCAAGAAGU